UCUGCGUGAAAAUAACAAAAUUCAUCCCUAUAUAUAGGGAAAAAAAUCUAUCCCAAAUAGCAUGAGAUUCGAAUUUUACUUUUAUGAAAAUAAAUAAAUUUAGAAAACUUUAAAUUAGGAAACUUUAAAACUAGGAAACUUUAAACUAGGAAAAUUUAAACUAGAAAAUUUUUAAACUAGGAAAGUAAUAUAAAAAAUAAAUCCCUAAUUAAAUAAGGAAAAGUUUCUAAAUUUAAUCAAAACUCAUAUUGCCCAAUUUUCUUCCGUUUGGACUUGAACAUGAAUCAUGAAAUAUGUAUAACACUUUAACCCAUGCUUUUCCAUAAUAUUUGGGCUUGUUCUUGAAUUUUUCUUCCAUCAUAAGUAUCUUCUUGAUUCACAUUGAAGCCCAUCAAUUUUAAUACACGUGGGUUAGACUUGAUGCUAUCAAAUUGUGCCAUUAUUCUCUCAAUCCGAUUCAGGAUAUUUAAUGGAGGGUUCAUUACCGACAGCCAAUGGAUAGGAACACUUUUGUAGCACAUGCUUGAUUAAAAUUGUUCUACCCCCAUAGGAUAACAGUUUUCCUUUCCACGCCUGAAGUUUUGAGCUAAUCCUUUGUAGCAGCGGGUGAUUAUACUUCUUUUGCUUCCAUUUAUAAAACUAGAGGUGAAGGGGGUUCAAAGCAUAUUAUUUCAUCAGGUAUUUUAUUUGUACAUCGCUACUUAACAUAUG
rnacentral:lncRNA from 1 species